rnacentral:misc_RNA from 1 species
AGGACUAGUAAUGCUGGUAUUCCAGAUCCUAAUGGAAAGAUAUACUGGAGUUUCAAUGCGUUGGUAGGUCUCUUUUUCCCUGCUGUGACUGGGAUCAUGGCAGGUUCGAACCGUUCAGCCUCGCUAAAGGAUACACAGCGUUCAAUUCCUAUUGGGACAUUAGCAGCAACUUUGACGACUAGUGCCUUAUAUCUAGUUUCAGUGCUGUUCUUUGGAUCUGUUGCAACUCGAGAUAAGCUUUUGACUGACAGGUUGUUGACCGCUUCAAUUGCUUGGCCAUUUCCAGCAAUUGUUUAUGUCGGUAUCAUCCUUUCAACCUUAGGGGCAGCCCUUCAAAGCUUGACUGGUGCACCACGUCUCCUUGCUGCGAUUGCAAACGAUGAUAUUUUACCUGUUCUGAACUAUUUUAAAGUGGUAGACGGAGGUGAGCCCCAUGUGGCCACUUUCUUCACUGCCUUCAUCUGUAUUGGAUGUGUCGUUAUUGGAAAUUUGGAUCUUAUUUCACCAACCAUAACAAUGUUUUACCUCCUAUGCUAUGCUGGUGUGAACUUAUCCUGCUUCCUUCUGGAUCUGUUAGAUGCUCCCAGCUGGCGACCUCGGUGGAAAUUUCACCACUGGAGCCUCUCUCUUGUUGGAGCAUUACUUUGUAUAGUUAUCAUGUUUUUGAUUUCAUGGACAUUCACUGUGGUAUCACUAGCCCUAGCAAGUCUAAUCUAUUAUUAUGUGAGUAUCAAGGGGAAAGCAGGAGACUGGGGUGAUGGUUUCAAGAGUGCAUAUUUUCAGCUUGCUCUUCGUAGUUUACGAUCUUUGGGAGCUAGUCAGGUACAUCCCAAAAAUUGGUACCCUAUCCCCCUCAUAUUUUGUCGUCCAUGGGGCAAGCUGCCAGAAAAUGUACCUUGUCAUCCUAAGCUAGCAGACUUUGCCAACUGUAUGAAGAAAAAGGGCAGGGGAAUGUCCAUCUUUAUUUCUAUUAUAGAUGGGGACUACCAUGAACGUGUUGAGGAUGCCAAGGCAGCUUGUAAGCAGCUAAGUACAUAUAUCGACUACAAGCAAUGUGAAGGUGUAGCUGAGAUUGUUGUUGCCCCAAGCAUGUCUGAAGGCUUUCGAGGCAUUGUUCAGACUAUGGGUCUCGGAAAUCUCAAGCCAAAUAUAAUCGUUAUGCGGUACCCUGAG